UACGAAGGGUGCAAGCGUUACUCGGAAUUACUGGGCGUAAAGCGUGCGCAGGCGGUUAUGUAAGACAGUUGUGAAAUCCCCGGGCUCAACCUGGGAAUUGCAUCUGUGACUGCAUAGCUAGAGUACGGUAGAGGGGGAUGGAAUUCCGCGUGUAGCAGUGAAAUGCGUAGAUAUGCGGAGGAACACCGAUGGCGAAGGCAAUCCCCUGGACCUGUACUGACGCUCAUGCACGAAAGCGUGGGGAGCAAACAGG
rnacentral:rRNA from 1 species